UACGUAGGGUCCGAGCGUUAAUCGGAAUUACUGGGCGUAAAGCGUGCGCAGGCGGUUUUGUAAGCCAGAUGUGAAAGCCCCGGGCUCAACCUGGGAACUGCAUUUGGGACUGCAAGGCUGGAGUACGGCAGAGGGAGGUGGAAUUCCACGUGUAGCAGUGAAAUGCGUAGAGAUGUGGAGGAACACCGGUGGCGAAGGCGGGUCUCUGGGCAAUUCCUGACGCUGAGGCGCGAAAGCGUGGGGAGCAAACGGG
rnacentral:rRNA from 1 species